CCUGGAGGCCCUGAAGGGCAUCUGGAGGUGGCCCAGAUCUUUCUCUGUGCUCCUCUGUGUAGCAGCCCAGGCUCCCUGUGCGGGCUUGGUGGUGUUGUUCCUUGGGGGUGGGGCAUGUGGGUGGCUCCUCCCUGAGCCCCGGUUCUCCCCUUGUGUCUUUCAGUGAGCUCUUCUGCCAAGGGGGUCCUCCUUGCAAUGACCAAUAUAGAUGGUGAGCAUGGAGGAAGACUUGCGUUGGGCCCAAUGGCUCUGGGCCAGUGUCUGUCAGCCAGUUCCAGCCCCAGGUGCACUGAAGCUCAGGCCUUUCCUGGCACCCUGGUCUCCUGCACUGAGCUAUGUGAGCUCCUCUGUCCAAGUGGUCCCCCCAGCCUUGAGCAGCAUAGGUGAGUACAUCCUGUUUUGGUCAUGAGCCAUGAGUGAUGCAGCAUGGGGUCCACGACAUUCAGCCUUCAGGCC
rnacentral:lncRNA from 1 species